UACGAAGGGUGCAAGCGUUACUCGGAAUCACUGGGCGUAAAGCGUGCGUAGGCGGUUUCUUAAGUCUGUCGUGAAAUCCCCGGGCUCAACCUGGGAAUGGCGAUGAAGACUGCAAGGCUAGAAUCUGGCAGAGGGGGGGUAGAAUUCCACGGUGUAGCAGUGGAAUGACGUAGAGAUCCGGAAGAACACCGGUGGCGAAGGCGGUUGAGCUGGGCAGUGCUGACACUGAGGAGCGAAGUGUGGGAGCGAACAGGAUUAGAUACCCUUGA
rnacentral:rRNA from 1 species